rnacentral:rRNA from 1 species
AGGCCUGCGGCAGCUUACCAUGCAGUCGAGCGGAACGAUACCAGCUUGCUGGUAGGCGUCGAGCGGCGGACGGGUGAGCAAUACUUAGGAAUCUACCUAGUAGUGGGGGAUAGCUCGGGGUAACUCGAAUUAAUACCGCAUACGACCUACGGGAGAAAGGGGGCAGUUUACUGCUCUCGCUAUUAGAUGAGCCUAAGUCGGAUUAGCUAGAUGGUGGGGUAAAGGCCUACCAUGGCGACGAUCUGUAGCUGGUCUGAGAGGAUGAUCAGCCACACCGGGACUGAGACACGGCCCGGACUCCUACGGGAGGCAGCAGUGGGGAAUAUUGGACAAUGGGGGAAACCCUGAUCCAGCCAUGCCGCGUGUGUGAAGAAGGCCUUUUGGUUGUAAAGCACUUUAAGCAGUGAAGAAGACUCCUCGGUUAAUACCCGUGGACGAUGACAUUAGCUGCAGAAUAAGCACCGGCUAACUCUGUGCCAGCAGCCGCGGUAAUACAGAGGGUGCAAGCGUUAAUCGGAAUUACUGGGCGUAAAGCGAGCGUAGGUGGCUUGAUAAGUCAGAUGUGAAAUCCCCGGGCUUAACCUGGGAACUGCAUCUGAAACUGUUAGGCUAGAGUAGGUGAGAGGAAGGUAGAAUUCCAGGUGUAGCGGUGAAAUGCGUAGAGAUCUGGAGGAAUACCGAUGGCGAAGGCAGCCUUCUGGCAUCAUACUGACACUGAGGCUCGAAAGCGUGGGUAGCAAACAGGAUUAGAUACCCUGUAGUCCACGCCGUAAACGAUGUCUACUAGUCGUUGGGUCCCUUGAGGACUUAGUGACGCAGCUAACGCAAUAAGUAGACCGCCUGGGGAGUACGGCCGCAAGGUUAAAACUCAAUGAAUUGACGGGGGCCCGCACAAGCGGUGGAGCAUGUGUUUAUUCGAUGCAACGCGAGACCUUACCUGUCUUGACAUAUCUAGAAUCCUGCAGAGAUGCGGGAGUGCCUUC